CCGUGCAUAUGCCUUUUGGUAGGCUCUUCUAUGGCCGGCCUUUUUUAUCAAUGUUGAAGUUUGGGUCUUGCGCAAUGGACGUCUACGAACCGUGUCAGGAUGGGAACAUAGCAGCACUAAGAAGAAUUGUCCAUGUGCCGCAAGGGUGCCUGGCGGAGUUGAUAAGAGGGUAUCGCAUAGAAGGGUCUUCCAAAAGCCGGAUGCACGG
rnacentral:SRP_RNA from 1 species